ACUCCACCAGUUUCUGGAUUAUUUUAGUUUUGUUACAAUUCUGAUCAUGCAUCAUAGGACUGCAACAAUGAGCUUUAAAUAAGUAUUCUUUGUGCACAGUAAAAUAGAAAGAAAGGAACAUUUAACAAGUUAGCAUUUCAUCAUAUACAUCAGAUAGUAGGCACAAUAGAUAAAUCAAGCAGCUUGGGUUUUAUGUAGCGCAUUUUCAUGAAGAAUGUCAUGUAGACCAAAAUGUAAGAGGAGCUAUUAGUAACCCACCCCCACACCCUCCAACAAACCUUUUAUUGGGGGUAAGGAGGUGGGUAUGUGCACAGAACCAAAAACACUGAACAGUAGGAGGACAAAUUAAGUUACUGUAGGCAGCAGUGUGAAUAUUAAAAACCUCUUCCUGUGAAAGAAUACUUCAGACCCUGUAAAAACUGGUUCAGUUAAAAAUAGAUGUAUUUACAUUUAAGUCUGAUCUAGCAAGUUUUCCCAGCAGGUGUAUGUUAAGAUGUACAGUAACUCUGCAGGUUGUACUCAAUCUGACUUGAUUUGUGAAUGUUUUUUUUUUUUUUAAAGUUGCAGCUAUUAGGCCUUAAAGCACCAGCAUAUUACAGCGGUGGGAUGAGUAAUUGUCUCCGUCUGCUUUGCUACCAGUACACUGCUGGGAUAAAUCCCAAACCUGUCAUUAGAUCACACUGUUGUUAAUUAAGAUGAUGGUUUUUUCCAGCUCAAGAUGUGUGGGUCAUUUACCAGGGCAAGAUUGUUUUCCCAGAUACUCACACGUGUCUCACCUCUGCCCGUAUCACUAGGGCAGAAUUUAGCUGUAGGUGUUUGCAGCUGACUGCUGCUCUAGUAAAAUAUUUGGACAAAUCCACCUGUUUUAGUUCACAUGAACAUGCUUUGUUUUUGUGAAGCCACUUAUGCUACUUGUUCAGGGAAUAACGACUAUUAAAAUGCUAAAUAUUUGUCAAGGUUAGCUCUUUGGUAAGCUUUGACACCUAUAGAUUACACAGCCUCUAAUGCUGGGUGCAAUGGUAGGAUGGCUCAGUGUUACUCUAUAUAGAAGGAAGCGUUCAUUUCACCAUGCCAGUCAAGAUAGUUAUUUGUUUUAUUUGGUUAUUGUUCAACAACAAAGUUCAAUACUUUCCAGGUGGAGCUUUGAACUGUCCCUCUGGUUCCCUCCCUUGUCAAUAAUAAAAAGGUAAUGAAGAAAAAUCCUGUACUUUUAGAGACCUAAAACCUCAUUUAUGCUAACAAGCUUCAAUUGCAAUUUAAUGUUACAAUAUUUCUUCAUGGGAGCGAGGAGGACUAAGCUGAGGCCCCUCCAGUGUCUGAAGAUGGCUGUCCACAACCACCAUUAAAACAAAAAGCUAGUGUUGAAAAACGCACAGUUUACAAUAAAAAAGUAGAAACCAAUUCAAUUCCCUUUUGUUACGAAUAUAAAGUUUCUUGUAAAUAUGUACAGUCCUUUGAGCUAUUUCUAUAGCAGGAAGCAUUUCACGAACAAGACAAGAUAUACACUUUCAGGACUCAACAAGCCCAUUUCUGAGGUCUUGAAGAUCUUCCAUGAGAUGCAAAGAUUUAAAGACUGAUCUCAGUGACCUUUCAAAAUAUCCAGACCAGGAGACAAAAACUUUCAGCAAGUUUCCUGCCAAAUCAUCUGACCUAAAAUAACCUAACAGACGAGAACGGAAUACAAUAUUCAUGAAACUCGCCAAAGGACACUGACAAGGCAUUUGAAUUUUUAUGGGUUUCUAGAACAGGUUAGCACAGGCUUGCGAGGGACUAGCAGAAGUUUAAGAGUGUGGCCAAGGGAAGACUGGAUGCAGUUUUGCUCUUUCCAGUUGUAAAGAACAUGGUUGUUCACUUAGAAUGUUGCUAUUGCAGAUUGAAUGGUCAAAACCUGCUUUGAAAAUCAUUUGCUCUCUGCUUCAUGUUCACAGCAAAAGAGAAUAGAAAGCAAUAAAUGGCUCGAGGUUAGAUACGCAGAAGCAAAGGUGAAGGUGUGUUCAGUAACCGCUAAAGCUGUUCAUUGUGAGUAUCCUCUUGUGCCAUGACAUUUGGUUCUUAUUGUACGACAAGUUACAGAUCACGGGAAGAGCCAGGCCUGGGCUGCUCUUCUCUCUGGGGGAUGCGAGACUGUCGGGACUACGGUGUCAUUUCCGAAGGGACCGUGUUCAACGCUGAGAGGAGAACACAAGCGUGACUGUAAUUCUUGUCAUAGAAUAAGGCUUGUUAACUCUUCGUUGCCAAAUUUCCAGAGUAUUUAACGGUUAUUUUGCAGCGUAAUCUAAAGGUUUCAGUUAAUUUACAAGUGAGGUACAAUACACUACUCAGCAAAGCAACCUAAAAGGAGAGAGCAGCCAGUGAUGGUGCAGCAGCAUGCAGUGAACUGUCAUGCAGAAGACCUGGAUAAAGUCUUACACCCCAGUAGCUUAUAGGUAAUGCACUUUGUCUCAGGGCCGGGCACAUGGGAUCGUUUAAAGCAGGGUUCUUCCCUCCCCAUCAGAGCUGCUCUAGAGCAAUUUUAGUGAGAACAAAAUAACUUUCAGAAGUGGCAGGUGAACAGACUAAUCAGAAGUAAUUUUUCUUGUGUUCUGUAGAGAAUAUCCAAUCACACCUUCUAUUGAAAGACUCACUCACCUUGGCCCUUCUGGUUCCAGGCCACCAGGCAUUCCCAGCGUGUUUCAGAACUAUCAUCAAUUAUCUGGUCAAGAUGAGUAACUUUGUCUAGCUGAGACUUACACCGAAGACUGGUCCCAGACCUGGCAGGGAAAUAAAAUGACAGUUACAAGUCGCACAUAUUUUUUUCUCACAUACGCACAGGUGCCAGCAGCAGUACAUCACCUAACUACUGCUGCUACCGCUGAGUGCUGUAUGCUUGCUUGCUUCUAGGUGGCAUAAUUCUUAAAGCACUGACAAAGGCAAGCACUGUCAGCAUCACUCUGAACACAGCAGGCUCCCACAUUCCUUCCUCCAGACAUUGUCCCCCUUCGAGGUCUCAGCAACUUGACUUCUGUUGGUAAAUGCACCUUUGCUUUCAGAUCUGGAGGACUUUGUUCCGGAGUCAAGCUGCUUUUGCAGUUACAGAACUAGCACAAGGGAAGGUGUUCAUAGGGCCAGUGAGUUACACCAUACGUGCUCUGUUUCAAUAGAAGUUGAGGGGCCGGGGGGUGAAGUUUGAUUUGCUCUUGUACUUUACAGUACCACCAGCCCUUCUGCAGUACAUGCCUUUUCCUGAGAACAGAAAAGUUCUCCAGGCUCCUGACUUACCUUAUUGACUUGAGCAAGAGGAGUUCUGGCACCACUCACAGGCAUUCGUCCUCGGCUGCUCUCUUCGAACAGUCUUCCAGGGGACCUUUCUCUGCGGGUGCUCAGAAGCCGGCCUGGAGAUUUCUCCCUCUCCAGCGGUCGCCCAGGCACACAAGCCUACGCAUGGCACCUGAUCCACAGGGACGGAGAACUUUUAAGCCAGAAGCAAGCUGACCAAACACACCUCAGCAGACUGGAUCAGUACUAGAAAGUCAACUCUGUUCAGCUUUCGUUUACAACUGUACUUGGGUACAUUCUGACUGUUCACGUACCAGAGAGCAGUUGUAGUGCAACAACUGUACAACCAUGCCACACACUUACCAUGGAAACAUAGCAGAUACUCCUCCCUCUGCCCUGUUGGGUUCACUUGGAUGAUACUGACUGGAAAACUGUUGGUAGAAGCAGCAAACACG